rnacentral:rRNA from 1 species
GACGAACGCUGGCGGCGUGCUUAACACAUGCAAGUCGAACGAAGUGGCGAACGGGUGAGUAAUACGUGGGUAACCUGCCCUCCUUUUUGGUAUAAGCCUUUGAAACGGGUUCUACUCCCGAAUAAAGGGGGAUGGGCUCGCGGCCUAUCAGCUUGUUGGUGGGGUGAUGGCCUAACAAGGCGGUGACGGGUAGCCGGACUGAGAGGGUGACCGGAGACAGUGGGAGUGAGAUACGGCCCAGAGUCAUACGGGAGGCAGCAGUGGGGGAGAUUGCACGAUGGGAGAAAGCAUGAUGCAGCGACGCCGCGUGGGGGAUGAAGGAUUUCGGGUUGUAAACCUCGUUAGGUAUAGAACGGGUAGGUGGAGAAGAAGCGCCGGCUAAAUACGUGCCAGCAGCCGCGGUAAUAC